rnacentral:sRNA from 1 species
GUCCCACCAACAGUUCAGAAACCUACCACAGUAAAUGUUCCAACUACAGAA